rnacentral:rRNA from 1 species
AGCGAACGCUGGCGGCAGGCCUAACACAUGCAAGUCGAACGAACCUUUCGGGGUUAGUGGCGGACGGGUGAGUAACACGUGGGAACGUGCCUUUAGGUUCGGAAUAACUCAGGGAAACUUGUGCUAAUACCGAAUGUGCCCUUCGGGGGAAAGAUUUAUCGCCUUUAGAGCGGCCCGCGUCUGUUUAGCUAGUUGGUUGAGGUAAUGGCUCACCAAGGCGACGAUCAGUAGCUGGUCUGAGAGGAUGAUCAGCCACAUUGGGACUGAGACCCGGCCCAAACUCCUACGGGAGGCAGCAGUGGGGAAUCUUGCGCAAUGGGCGAAAGCCUGACGCAGCCAUGCCGCGUGAAUGAUGAAGGUCUUAGGAUUGUAAAAUUCUUUCACCGGGGACGAUAAUGACGGUACCCGGAGAAGAAGCCCCGGCUAACUUCGUG